rnacentral:rRNA from 1 species
CUUGGGUCAUUUAGAGGAAGUAAAAGUCGUAACAAGGUCUCCGUAGGUGAACCUGCGGAGGGAUCAUUACACAAAUAUGAAGGCGGGCUGGAACCUCUCGGGGUUACAGCCUUGCUGAAUUAUUCACCCUUGUCUUUUGCGUACUUCUUGUUUCCUUGGUGGGUUCGCCCACCACUAGGACAAACAUAAACCUUUUGUAAUUGCAAUCAGCGUCAGUAACAAAUUAAUAAUUACAACUUUCAACAACGGAUCUCUUGGUUCUGGCAUCGAUGAAGAACGCAGCGAAAUGCGAUAAGUAGUGUGAAUUGCAGAAUUCAGUGAAUCAUCGAAUCUUUGAACGCACAUUGCGCCCUUUGGUAUUCCAAAGGGCAUGCCUGUUCGAGCGUCAUUUGUACCCUCAAGCUUUGCUUGGUGUUGGGCGUCUUGUCUCUAGCUUUGCUGGAGACUCGCCUUAAAGUAAUUGGCAGCCGGCCUACUGGUUUCGGAGCGCAGCACAAGUCGCACUCUCUAUCAGCAAAGGUCUAGCAUCCAUUAAGCCUUUUUUUCAACUUUUGACCUCGGAUCAGGUAGGGAUACCCGCUGAACUUAAGCAUAUCAAUAAGCGGAGGA